UAGUUACAUGCACAUUGAUAAAGCAACGUCGAAGGGAAAGAAAGUCUAGUUUCAUAAAAAAAUCUUUUUAUUUCACAACACACCUUAAAUCUAGGAUUUUCCAAACAAUACCUUUUAUGCUUAGAUCAGUUCUGAGAGUUCUACUUAUCCAAAUUUGCUUCUAUAAAAUGCUACGUGUUCUUUAUCAUCAUAGAUAACAAUAGAUUAAAUCAAAUGCCACCAUACUUGCCCAAAUCAUUUUCAAAUUGAC
rnacentral:lncRNA from 1 species